AUCUAAUUUAAUUAUAACUCUCUAUGUGAAUUCUGCUUGCAGCUGAUGGCGCAAAUUCUGCUCCAUGGGACUCUUCAUGCCACUAUCUAUGAAGUCGAUAAGCUCAAAAUUGGUGGAGGCAACAAUUUAACCAAGAUAUUUGAAGCACGAGAGACAUUAGAACAACGUGUUGUAGAUGCAGCAGUGCCUGGGGAUGUAAUGUUGACAGAGAAACAAAUUCAGACGAUGUUCCAAUGAUUAGUGUUGAAGAAGAUGUUGCAAAAGGGGAGCAAAUUCUUUGGCGUGCUUCAUUUUGAGGAGUUUAUACGUCAUCUUAGGCUUAAGGUGCAUUUUAUAAUAAAUUUCUUAUCUGAACAUUGAGCUAUUGCUACCCAGUCUACUUUUUUUCCUUCUUUUUGGUAGAAAUUCUUUUUUAUUUAACUUACUGAGAAAGGGAAUUGAACUUUAGAGUCGUAAAAA